CCCAGACUCCUACGGGAGGCAGCAGUGGGGGAUAUUGCACAAUGGGGGGAACCCUGAUGCAGCGACGCCGCGUGGGUGAAGGAGCGUUUCGGCGCGUAAAGCCCUAUCGGCAGGGAAGAAGGAGGACGGUACCUGACUAAGAAGCCCCGGCUAACUACGUGCCAGCAGCCGCGGUAAUACGUAGGGGGCAAGCGUUAUCCGGAUUUGCUGGGUGUAAAGGGGGCGCAGACGGCAGCGCAAGCCAGGAGUGAAAGCCCGGGGCCCAACCCCGGGACUGCUCUUGGAACUGCGCGGCUGGAGUGCAGGAGGGGCAGGCGGAACUCCUGGUGUAGCGGUGAAAUGCGUAGAUAUCAGGAGGAACACCGGUGGCGAAGGCGGCCUGCUGGACUGCGACUGACGUUGAGGCCCGAAAGCGUGGGGAGCAAACAGGAUUAGAUACCCCCGUAAU
rnacentral:rRNA from 1 species